rnacentral:rRNA from 1 species
AUGGCGGCCCUCUACGUCCCGCUCCGCGUCAUCGCCUCCCGCCCGCGCGCCCCCACCCUGCGAGUCCUCCUGCCGCUCCACGCCCACCUUCUCACCUCCGGCCGCCUCGCCUCCGCCCCCGCCAUCCUCACCACCCUCGUCUCCCUCUACGCGCGCGUCCCGGCCCUCCACCCCGUCGUCCACCACCUCCUCCCGCCGGCCUCCCCGCUCCCCUGCUUCAACGCCGCGCUCUCCCUGCCCUACCCGCUCGCGCUCCGCGUCUUCGGCCGCCUCCGCGCCGCCCACUUCCCCGACUCCUUCUCCUUCCCGCCGCUCGCCUCCUCCGCCCCGUCCCCGCCCCACCUCCUCGCGAUCCACGCCCUCUCGCUCCGCUGCGACGUCGCCCACGACCUCUUCUGCGCCAGCGCCCUGCUCCGCGGCUACCUCAGGUUCGGCCUCGCCGACCACGCACACCGCCUGUUCGACGAAUUGCCCCUCCGGGACGUCGUGGUCUGGAACGCCAUGGUCAACGGGUUCGCCAAGCUCGGCUGCUUCGACCGCGCCAUGGAGUGCUUCCUGCGGAUGAGGCAGGAUGGCACGGUGGAGGUCAGCGCUUUCACCGUCACCGGAAUCCUGUCGGUCUGCACUGCGGCCGCGGAUUUCCAGUGCGGGGCUGCCGUUCACGGGAUGGUGGUGAAGUCGGGACUCGACCACAAUGUUUCCGUGUGUAACGCCUUGGUGGAUCUUUAUGGGAAGUCCCAUGAUGUGGCCAGUGCGGCGAUGGUGUUUGAGGGGAUGGCAGAGCAGGACAGGGACUUGUUCAGCUGGAACUCGAUGCUGUCCGCAUUGCACUACUCGGCUGACCAUAUGGGGACAAUGAGGCUCUUUCGUAGGAUGAGGCAUGCUGCAGUAUGGCCGGAUGCAGUGACCGUUGCGGCUGUUCUCCCUGCAUGUGCGCAGACUGCUGCACUGAAGGUUGGGAGGACGGUGCAUGGGUACAUUAUCAUGAUCGGACUGGCUCGCGAUGGUGCAAUGGACGUGCGUGCUUGUAAUGCGCUGGUAGACAUGUAUGCCAAGAGCGGGGCACUGGAUGAGGCAUGCCGUGUAUUUUAUUGGAUGCGCCAACAGGACGUGGCAUCAUGGAAUAUUAUGAUCAACGGGUAUGCAUCCCAUGGGCGUGGGCAGGAGGCACUGGGGUUGUUCCGCCAGAUGACAGAGGUGAAAGGUCUGGUGCCAGACGAGGUAACUCUGCUGGCAGCAAUGUCGGCGUGCAGCCACUCUGGGUUUGUCGAAGAAGGGAGAAGUUUACUUAAGAGAAUGAAAGAGGAGUUCGGUUUGGAGCCGCUGAUGGAGCACUUCGCAUGUGUGACUGACAUGCUUGGGCGAGCAGGGAGGCUGGAUGAGGCGAGAAAGGUAGUAGAGGAGGCAGGAGAUGUAGGAGCUGGUGCAUGGAGGACAUACCUUGCAGCAUGCCGGAUGCAUGGUGAUAAAGAAAGGGCCCAAGAGGCAGCUAGGAUGCUGAUGACGACGAAGGAGCCUGGGAGUGGUGGAUGGGUGCUGCUAGCGAACACAUAUGGCUGGGAUGGAAACUUUGAGGGCCUGGAGGAGGUAAGGGGGGAGAUGAGACGGCAGGGAGUGCAGAAGCCUGCACCGGGCUGCAGCUGGGUUGAGGUGGGUGGAGGAAACGGCGAGAGCGGAACAGUUGGGCACGCUUUUGUUAGUGGCGAUAAGGAACACCCCUAG